UACAGAGGUCCCAAGCGUUGUUCGGAUUCAUUGGGCGUAAGGGUGUGUAGGUGGCGCCGUAAGUCGGGUGUGAAAUUUCGGAGCUUAACUCCGAAACUGCAUUCGAUACUGCGGUGCUUGAGGACUGGAGAGGAGACUGGAAUUCGAUGGUGUAGCAGUGAAAUGCGUAGAGAUCAUGAGGAAGACCAGUGGCGAAGGCGGGUCUCUGGACAGUUCCUGACACUGAGAACACGGAAGGCCAGGGGAGCAAACGGG
rnacentral:rRNA from 1 species